UACGUAGGCAGCAAGCGUUGUCCGGAGUUACUGGGCGUAAAGCGCACGCAGGCGGUCUGCUAAGUUUGGAGUGACAGUUGGUGGCUUAACUGCCAAAGUGCUUCGAAAACUGACAGACUUGAGGGCUUCAGAGGGACACGGAAUUCCGGGUGGAGUGGUGAAAUGCGUAGAGAUCCGGAGGAACACCAAAGGCGAAGGCAGUGUCCUGGGGAGUACCUGACGCUCAGGUGCGAAAGCCAGGGGAGCGAACGGG
rnacentral:rRNA from 1 species